ACAUAUGUAUCUCAGUUGGUUAGAGUGUCGUGUUAUGUGAUAACGCGAAGGUUUUGGAUUCGAUCCCCACCAUGGCCA